GUCAACGCUGUGGGCACCGCUUCUCCCACCCUCACAAACUCUUCCUUCCCUCUGCAAUCGUCCCACUUCCAGGGAGUCCUGUCAACGUCGAUCGCAAGUCGGGGGAAGAAAAAAUGGAGAACCAAGGUCCGAAUUUCAAAUCACUCCGUUGUUAUCGGGAAUGCGUGUAUAGCAACGAAGUUGCAGUAAAUGUACUUGAAAGGUUUGUAUCAACACAUGUCACAAUCGUGCAAUUGGUACUGCCAAAGUUGGUGUGCAAAAUAAAACCUUGUUAUUUGUAUCGUU